rnacentral:rRNA from 1 species
UCUUUAACAAUUUAUCAGACAAUCUGUGUGGGCACUCGAAGAUACGGAUUCUUAACGUCCUCGGACGAAAAAUGAAUACCAAGUCUCAAGAGUGAACACGUAAUUCAUUACGAAGUUUAAUUCUUUGAGCAUCAAACUUUNGGGAACCUGCGGUUGGAUCACCUCCUUACCUUAAAGAAGCGUACUUUGCAGUGCUCACACAGAUUGUCUGAUGAAAAGUGAAUAGCAAGGCGUUUACGCGUUGGGAGUGAGGCUGAAAAAAUAAGGCCGUUCGCUUUCUAUUAAUGAAAGCUCACCCUACACGAAAAUAUCACGCAGCGCGUGAUAAGCAAUUUUCGUGUCCCCUUCGUCUAGAGGCCCAGGACACCGCCCUUUCACGGCGGUAACAGGGGUUCGAAUCCCCUAGGGGACGCCNGGGAACCUGCGGUUGGAUCACCUCCUUACCUGAAAGAAGCGUACUUUGCAGUGCUCACACAGAUUGUCUGAUGAAAAGUAAAUAGCAAGGCGUCUUGCGAUUGAGACUUCAGUGUCCCCUUCGUCUAGAGGCCCAGGACACCGCCCUUUCACGGCGGAGGGGACGCCACUUGCUGGUUUGUGAGUGAAAGUCACCUGCCUUAAUAUCUCAAAACUGACUUACGAGUCACGUUUGAGAUAUUUGCUCUUUAAAAAUCUGGAUCAAGCUGAAAAUUGAAACACAGAACAACGAAAGUUGUUCGUGAGUCUCUCAAAUUNUGUCCCCUUCGUCUAGAGGCCCAGGACACCGCCCUUUCACGGCGGUAACAGGGGUUCGAAUCCCCUAGGGGACGCCACUUGCUGGUUUGUGAGUGAAAGUCACCUGCCUUAAUAUCUCAAAACUGACUUACGAGUCACGUUUGGUAAUAGCUCACUGGUCGAGUCGGCCUGCGCGGAAGAUGUAACGGGGCUAAACCAUGCACCGAAGCUGCGGCAGCGACGCUUAUGCGUUGUUGGGUAGGGGAGCGUUCUGUAAGCCUGUGAAGGUGGCCUGUGAGGGUUGCUGGAGGUAUCAGAAGUGCGAAUGCUGACAUAAGUAACGAUAAAGCGGGUGAAAAGCCCGCUCGCCGGAAGACCAAGGGUUCCUGUCCAACGUUAAUCGGGGCAGGGUGAGUCGACCCCUAAGGCGAGGCCGAAAGGCGUAGUCGAUGGGAAACGGGUUAAUAUUCCCGUACUUGGUGUUACUGCGAAGGGGGGACGGAGAAGGCUAUGUUGGCCGGGCGACGGUUGUCCCGGUUUAAGCGUGUAGGUGUGUGUUCCAGGUAAAUCCGGUUCACUUUAACACUGAGGCGUGACGACGAGGCACUACGGUGCUGAAGCAACAAAUGCCCUGCUUCCAGGAAAAGCCUCUAAGCAUCAGGUAACAUCAAAUCGUACCCCAAACCGACACAGGUGGUCAGGUAGAGAAUACCAAGGCGCUUGAGAGAACUCGGGUGAAGGAACUAGGCAAAAUGGUGCCGUAACUUCGGGAGAAGGCACGCUGACAUGUAGGUGAAGUGAUUUACUCAUGGAGCUGAAGUCAGUCGAAGAUACCAGCUGGCUGCAACUGUUUAUUAAAAACACAGCACUGUGCAAACACGAAAGUGGACGUAUACGGUGUGACGCCUGCCCGGUGCCGGAAGGUUAAUUGAUGGGGUCAGCGCAAGCGAAGCUCCUGAUCGAAGCCCCGGUAAACGGCGGCCGUAACUAUAACGGUCCUAAGGUAGCGAAAUUCCUUGUCGGGUAAGUUCCGACCUGCACGAAUGGCGUAAUGAUGGCCAGGCUGUCUCCACCCGAGACUCAGUGAAAUUGAACUCGCUGUGAAGAUGCAGUGUACCCGCGGCAAGACGGAAAGACCCCGUGAACCUUUACUAUAGCUUGACACUGAACAUUGAGCCUUGAUGUGUAGGAUAGGUGGGAGGCUUUGAAGUGUGGACGCCAGUCUGCAUGGAGCCGACCUUGAAAUACCACCCUUUAAUGUUUGAUGUUCUAACGUGGACCCGUAAUCCGGGUUGCGGACAGUGUCUGGUGGGUAGUUUGACUGGGGCGGUCUCCUCCUAAAGAGUAACGGAGGAGCACGAAGGUUGGCUAAUCCUGGUCGGACAUCAGGAGGUUAGUGCAAUGGCAUAAGCCAGCUUGACUGCGAGCGUGACGGCGCGAGCAGGUGCGAAAGCAGGUCAUAGUGAUCCGGUGGUUCUGAAUGGAAGGGCCAUCGCUCAACGGAUAAAAGGUACUCCGGGGAUAACAGGCUGAUACCGCCCAAGAGUUCAUAUCGACGGCGGUGUUUGGCACCUCGAUGUCGGCUCAUCACAUCCUGGGGCUGAAGUAGGUCCCAAGGGUAUGGCUGUUCGCCAUUUAAAGUGGUACGCGAGCUGGGUUUAGAACGUCGUGAGACAGUUCGGUCCCUAUCUGCCGUGGGCGCUGGAGAACUGAGGGGGGCUGCUCCUAGUACGAGAGGACCGGAGUGGACGCAUCACUGGUGUUCGGGUUGUCAUGCCAAUGGCACUGCCCGGUAGCUAAAUGCGGAAGAGAUAAGUGCUGAAAGCAUCUAAGCACGAAACUUGCCCCGAGAUGAGUUCUCCCUGAGACUUAGAGUCUCCUGAAGGAACGUUGAAGACGACGACGUUGAUAGGCCGGGUGUGUAAGCGCAGCGAUGCGUUGAGCUAACCGGUACUAAUGAACCGUGAGGCUUAACCUU